CACCACACUGUGUAUCAUAGAGCAAGACUCGUGGUGGAGCUCUUGAGCUGCUCUGGAACCUCACUCGUUCUAGAAUUGUCUCCGACGGAUUCAUGCUUCGGUCUGUGAAACGGUACGUCACGAGAAAGGAAAACACGCGAUGUUUGGAUUGGACGCAAACUGCUGCUGCAUGAUCUGUCGGGAACGUUAGAGAGUUAACCGUUUCGGUUUCAGUCAUUAUUUCAGGAGCUAACGCAAACAUUAUCUAUAUCCUGGUCCAACGAGGAAGUUUAAUUGCUAAUCAGUGGAGAUGCAGCCUGCAACAGCCAAGUGGGUAUGACAGACGAGACUCUGUUUUUGUAGAGUUCUGCGUUGAGGACAGUAAAGAUGUAAAAGUACAUUUUGACAAGUCCAAAUUUGAUUUCAGCUGCAUCACUGGAAACAGAUAAUAUCAAACAACAGAAUACUGUGGACCUUUUCGGGGAGAUUGACCCAAAGGCUCUAAACACAGG